rnacentral:rRNA from 1 species
UCCGUAGGGGGCAAGCGUUGUCCGGAAUCAUUGGGCGUAAAGAGCGUGUAGGCGGCCCGGUAAGUCCGCUGUGAAAGUCCAGGGCUCAACCCUGGGAUGCCGGUGGAUACUGUCGGGCUCGAGUCCGGAAGAGGAGUGUGGAAUUCCUGGUGUAGCGGUGAAAUGCGCAGAUAUCAGGAGGAACACCAGCGGCGAAGGCGGCGCUCUGGGCCGGUACUGACACUGAGACACGAAGGCCAGGGGAGCAAACGGG